rnacentral:rRNA from 1 species
GUGCAGCAGGCGCGAAAAACUCCGCAAUGCGCGAAAGCGUGACGGGGGAACCCCAAGUGCCAACACAACGUGUUGGCUUUUCUGGAGUGUAAAAAAGCUCCAGGAAUAAGGGCUGGGUAAGACCGGUGCCAGCCGCCGCGGUAACACCGGCAGCCCGAGUGAUGUCCGCGUUUAUUGGGCUUAAAAGCGUCCGUAGCCGGCCUGUUAAAGUCCCCGGUCAAAAUCCGGCGGCUUAAACCGUCGGUUAUCUGGGGAUACUGGCAGGCUUGAGGCCGGGAGAGGUUAGAGGUACUCCUGGGGUAGGGGUAAAAAUCCGAUAAUCCCAGGGGGACCAACCAGUGGCGAAGGCGUCUGACUGGAACGGGCCUGACGGUGAGGGACGAAAACCCUGGGGAGCGAUCCGGAUUAGAUACCUCGGUAGU